UACACACUAGAAUUUUAUACACGGG
rnacentral:piRNA from 1 species